GGACUACUGGGGUUUCUAAUCCUGUUUGCUCCCCUAGCUUUCGUGCCUCAGUGUCAGGAGUCGUCCAGGGACUCGCCUUCGCCACUGGUGUUCCUCUCGAUAUCUACGCAUUUCACUGCUACACCGAGAAUUCCAGUCCCCCCUCCGACCCUCAAGUUGGGUAGUUUCCAAUGCCGUUUCGGAGUUGAGCUCCGAGAUUUCACAUCCGACUUACCCUACCACCUACGCACCCUUUACGCCCAGUGAAUCCGAACAACGCUCGGGACCUCUGUAUUACCGCGGCUGCUGGCAC
rnacentral:rRNA from 2 species